UUGGUGUAAAUGAGGGUUUCAUGGCUGUGGACUGAGAAAAACAGGGUUUGUUUAGUGUAAAUGAGGGUUUCAUGGCUGUGGACUGAGAAAAACAGGGUUUGUUUGGUGUAAAUGAGGGUUUCAUGGCUGUGGACUGAGAAAAACAAGGUUUGUUUGGUGUAAAUGAGGGUUUCAUGGCUGUGGACUGAGAAAAACAGGGUUUGUUUGGUGUAAAUGAGGGUUUCAUGGCUGUGGACUGAGAAAAACAGGGUUUGUUUGGUGUAAAUGAGGGUUUCAUGGCUGUGGACUGAGAAAAACAGGGUUUGUUUGGUGUAAAUGAGGGUUUCAUGGCUGUGGACUGAGAAAAACAGGGUUUGUUUGGUGUAAAUGAGGGUUUCAUGGCUGUGGACUGAGAAAAACAAGGUUUGUUUGGUGUAAAUGAGGGUUUCAAGGCUGUGGACUGAGAAAAACAGGGUUUGUUUGGUGUAAAUGAGGGUUUCAUGGCUGUGGACUGAGAAAAACAAGGUUUGUUUGGUGUAAAUGAGGGUUUCAAGGCUGUGGACUGAGAAAAACAAGGUUUGUUUGGUGUAAAUGAGGGUUUCAUGGCUGUGGACUGAGAAAACCAAGGUUUGUUUAGUGUAAAUGAGGGUUUCAUGGCUGUGGACUGAGAAAAACAGGGUUUGUUUGGUGUAAAUGAGGGUUUCAUGGCUGUGGACUGAGAAAAACAAGGUUUGUUUGGUGUAAAUGAGGGUUUCAUGGCUGUGGACUGAGAAAAACAGGGUUUGUUUGGUGUAAAUGAGGGUUUCAUGGCUGUGGACUGAGAAAAACAGGGUUUGUUUGGUGUAAAUGAGGGUUUCAUGGCUGUGGACUGAGAAAAACAGGGUUUGUUUGGUGUAAAUGAGGGUUUCAUGGCUGUGGACUGAGAAAAACAGGGUUUGUUUGGUGUAAAUGAGGGUUUCAUGGCUGUGGACUGAGAAAAACAGGGUUUGUUUGGUGUAAAUGAGGGUUUCAUGGCUGUGGACUGAGAAAAACAGGGUUUGUUUGGUGUAAAUGAGGGUUUCAUGGCUGUGGACUGAGAAAAACAAGGUUUGUUUGGUGUAAAUGAGGGUUUCAUGGCUGUGGACUGAGAAAAACAGGGUUUGUUUGGUGUAAAUGAGGGUUUCAAGGCUGUGGACUGAGAAAAACAAGGUUUGUUUGGUGUAAAUGAGGGUUUCAAGGCUGUGGACUGAGAAAAACAGGGUUUGUUUGGUGUAAAUGAGGGUUUCAAGGCUGUGGACUGAGAAAAACAAGGUUUGUUUGGUGUAAAUGAGGGUUUCAUGGCUGUGGACUGAGAAAAACAGGGUUUGUUUGGUGUAAAUGAGGGUUUCAUGGCUGUGGACUGAGAAAAACAGGGUUUGUUUGGUGUAAAUGAGGGUUUCAAGGCUGUGGACUGAGAAAAACAAGGUUUGUUUGGUGUAAAUGAGGGUUUCAAGGCUGUGGACUGAGAAAAACAGGGUUUGUUUGGUGUAAAUGAGGGUUUCAAGGCUGUGGACUGAGAAAAACAGGGUUUGUUUGGU